GACUAACGCUGGCGGUAUGCCUUAGACAUGCAAGUCGAACGAGUUUCCGGGCUUGCUCGGAAGUUAGCGGCGGACGGGUGAGUAACACGUGGGUAACCUGCCCAUAAGACUGGGAUAACUCCGGGAAACCGGGGCUAAUACCGGAUAACAUUUUGAACCGCAUGGUUCGAAAUUGAAAGGCGGCUUCGGCUGGCACUUAUGCAUGGACCCGCGUCGCAUUAGCUAGUUGGGGAGGUAACGGCGCACCAAGGCAACGAUGCGUAGCCGACCUGAGAGGGUGAUCGGCCACACUGGGACUGAGACACGGCCCAGACUCCUACGGGAGGCAGCAGUAGGGAAUCUUCCGCAAUGGACGAAAGUCUGACGGAGCAACGCCGCGUGAGUGAUGAAGGCUUUCGGGUCGUAAAACUCUGUUGUUAGGGAAGAACAAGUGCUAGUUGGAUAAGCUGGCACCUUGACGGUACCUAACCAGAAAGCCACGGCUAACUACGUGCCAGCAGCCGCCGUAA
rnacentral:rRNA from 1 species